rnacentral:rRNA from 1 species
CGAACGCUGGCGGCGUGCUUACCACAUGCAAGUCGAACGGCAAGGCCCUGCUUUUGUGGGGUGCUCGAGUGGCGAACGGGUGAGUAACACGUGAGUAACCUGCCCUUGACUUUGGGAUAACUUCAGGAAACUGGGGCUAAUACCGGAUAGGAGCUCCUGCUGCAUGGUGGGGGUUGGAAAGUUUCGGCGGUUGGGGAUGGACUCGCGGCUUAUCAGCUUGUUGGUGGGGUAGUGGCUUACCAAGGCUUUGACGGGUAGCCGGCCUGAGAGGGUGACCGGCCACAUUGGGACUGAGAUACGGCCCAGACUCCUACGGGAGGCAGCAGUGGGGAAUAUUGCACAAUGGGCGGAAGCCUGAUGCAGCAACGCCGCGUGCGGGAUGACGGCCUUCGGGUUGUAAACCGCUUUCGCCUGUGACGAAGCGUGAGUGACGGCAAUGGGUAAAGAAGCACCGGCUAACUACGAG